ensembl:lncRNA
CCCACUGACCUGAAGUGCUUGGGGGGAUAGAGUAGAGCAGGUCUCCUUUCUUCCAAAAAAUGCCUGUAACAGAGGGGGCGUUUUCUCUACGAUUUCUUUCCUAGUGAAUUAGCCAUGAGAAGAGGAGAAGAUGUGGAUAGAAAAAAGACCAGAAAACUCAGAGAAGGUCCGAAUUCAAAUCCCACACCCACUUCUUUUUUGUAAACCACUUUAUUGAAGUAUGAUUGACACACAAAAAGUUGUACAUAAUUAAUGUAUACAACUUGAUGAGUUUAGAGAUAAGUAUAAACCUAUGAAACCAUCACCACAAUCUGUGCAUAAACCUAUCCAUCACCUCCAAAACUUUCCUCCUACCCUCUUAUUUAUUACUUUGUGUGUGUGAUAAGAACGCUUAAUAUAAGACCUACCCUAUUAGCAAAUUUUUACCUAUACAAUACAGUAUUGUUAACUGCGGGUACUGUGCUAUAUAGUAGAUCUCUAGGAUUUCUUCAUCUUGCAUAACUGAAACUUUGCACCCUUUGACUAAUAUCUCCCAUUUCCCCCUCUUCCCAGCCCCAAGCAACCACCAUUUCACUCUCUGCUUCUAUGAGUUUGACUCAUAUCAUGGUAUCAUGUAAUAUUUGACCUUCUGUGUCUGAUUUAUUUCACUUACUGUAACGUCACCUAGGUUUAUCCACAUUGUCACAGAUAGUAGGAUUUCCUUUUUUAAGGCUAAGUAAUAUUCCAUUGUAUGUAUACACAACAUUUUCUUUAUCCAUUCAUCCAUUAACGGAUGUUUAGGUUGCUUUCAUGUCUUGACUAUUGUGAGUAAUGCCGCAAUUAAUAUGCCACAUCCACUUCUUAUGAGCUAUAUAAACUUAGGCAAAUCACUAAACCUCAUUUGCAAAAUUAAGAAAUAAGAUCAUUGUGAAUAUUAAAUAAGAUCAAACAUAUGAAAGUUAUUUAGAAAAUGUAAAGGAGUAUGCAAAAUGUAAAAUAUUGUAGUUACUGAUGACCCUCAAGAACUUAGCAUAUCUAUAAUCAUCUCAUCAAAGAGGCAUUAUAAUAACAUUUUUAAAGCAUGAGAUUUUGAGAAGAUAUAGAUUAGCUUCUCUCUCUGCUUUGAAUUUGCUAAAUUAGGUUUGGUCGCAAGUGACAGAAACAUAUAAUGAUGGUGUUUUCGUUCUCUCACUUAUAGAAAUCCUAGGAGAAUUCCUACAGCUGGUAUAGCAUUCCAUGGUGACAGACAGCCAGGUAGGGUUGCCAGAUAAAAAGCAAGACACUGAGUUAAAUUUGAAUUUCAGAUAAACAUUAUAUAACAUUUUAGUAAAACUAUGUCCCAUGCAAUAUAUUUUGGGCCUCCUCUAUUUUUAUUUGCUAAAUCUGACAACUCUAGAUUUCCAGCAGAAACUACACACUUCUUUUAUUGAUUUCUUACUUCACUUUCCAAGAUGGUGGCAUUCAUAUCAGAAGGCUUUCAUAUUCCAGAAAGAAAAGAUGAAGAAAAAAGCAAUGUGUACAUAAACACUGUCUCUUAAUAAAGGCUCCCAAAAGCUCUCACACUACAAUUCCACUUCCAUCUUAUGGUUCAGAACUUAGUCACACAGUCACAUAGCUACAAGGAAGCACGGAGAGUGCAGUCUUUACUCUGGGCAGCGGUAUGCUCACCUAAAAGUUCUCUUAUUGUGGAAGUAGGAAGGACUCAACAUUGCGGAACAACUACCAGACUCGAAAACAUGCCUGUUAUCAAAAGUUUCAUGUUGUAAACAUCAGUGUACUUCUCUAAAACAAAGUUCCCUUUUCAUCACACUUAAUUGUUUUCAAGAUUAAAAAUAGAAUAACGUAUGCAGACUUGUUUUAUUACCAGAUAAAUAUUUAAUUCUUUCACAGGCAGCAUCUACAGGCAGUAACAAUAAAGUGUAUAAACUGUCAGGGCACUGGGGAUAUACAAAUUAAUGAGACAUGUGGUCCAGAGAGACAUGUGAACAAUGACACGAUGAUGUGUCAUGAGAAAAAUAGAAGAAGGAGUCAGGAAAAAGAAGAAAGGAUGACCCUUCUUAGCAGAAAAUUAAAAUGCAAAGGCAUGGAAUCAUUGUAGAGCAUGGUGAGUUAGGGGUGGAAUGAUGGAUGUAUAUCAAGGAUGUAUGAGUGAGAGGCAGCCAUAAAAGAUAAUAAGACAUUGUAACAGCACAGUGAUAGAGAUAUGCUCUGGAUACUCAUGGAAAUAAAAAGGAGGAAAUUUGGAGACAUUGAAUGAAGGGGAUUCAGCAAAGGCUCCCUGGAGGAAGUGCCCUGGAACAGCACCGACAAAGGCACAGAGGUGAAAGACAGCAUGAUGGCUGCAGGAACUUCACAUCUCAGUGUUGCUGGCGUGUCAAGAAACCCAACUGAACACGUAAGCAGAGAGCCCAGUCAGUUCCAGAGCUGUGAAUUCGGAACUCCACUCUGUGGCAUCAUCCUGGACACAAAGUACUGACCCUCGCCUUCCAGACCUCUGCUUUCACCUGACCAGGGAUUAUCAAGGCACUCUGUCCAAAUAAAUGCAGCGUUCUCUUUAGUAGGAAUUGAGGUAAGUACAACUUUCCCCAUCUUAUCAUUCAAUAUUUUAUCGGAUCUCAAUGCAUGGAUGUAUAAUCUCUGAAUCAGACUAAUAUCAACAUACCCUAAAGUACCAGACCCAUUUAGUGGAACAAAACCCCACAGCACUGAUUUUUAUUGUGUGUGAUAGGCAGCUUCUAAAAUGCUUCUCAAUGAUCCCCACUUCCUGGUGUUCAUGCCCCUAUAUAAUCCCCUCCCCUUGAGGGUGGGCUGCACCUAGUGACUUGCUUCUAAUAAACAGAAUGUGACAAAAGUGAUGAGAUGUCACUUCUGAGAUGAAGUUACAAAAAGACUGGCUUCUGUCUUGCUCAUCCUCUCUUGUUCUCUCACUUGCUGAUCUGAUGAGAGCCAGCUGCCAUGCUGUACGCUGCCCUAGGGAAGGGCGCACGUGGUAAGGAACUGAGGGAGACCUCCAGCCAGCAGCCAGGAGCAAUGGAGGCCCUCCAUCCAGCAGCUCACAAGGAACUAAAUCCUGCCAAUGACCACUUGUAUGAGCUUGGAAGCAGCCUCGAGAUAACUACAGCCCCAGUCAACACCUUGGUUGCAGCCUGGCCCCCCAGGAUCUUAAAUAAUAAAUAGUUGCUGUUGAAGUUUCUAAUUUUGGGGGUAAUUUGUUAUGCAGUAAUAGAUACCUAACAUAAUGUGGAAAAAGAAUUAGCUUUAAAACAGAAAUUAUAAAGUGUAUGACAGGUGUUUCUAGAGCACACCUAGCACUGUUAGCCCAAAGCACUGAACGAGACUUAGUAAGACCAAAGCCUAGAUUACCGGAUGGAAAUAACAUGUGAUUCUGGUAUAACAUGUGAUUCUUCCUCUAUGCUGAUUUUCCCAGAUUCAUCUGUGUUGUCCUCAAGAAACUAGAAUGCAAAUAUAAACAUAGUUACAGAGUCUUAAAAUGUUUUUUUAAAAACUCUAUUAAGUAGAGACAUAUCUGCCACGUACAUGGCUUCUCAUCUCCUCACCUAAGCUUUAUGAAUUCCUACCACAUGGUUGAUAAGUUUCUGUUACACCUAAAUCUGUAUGAAAAGGUGAAUUUGGGAGGCUACUUGUCAGCACAAUUUGUUUUAAACUCACGAAUUGUUUUUUUUCAGAGAUUGGCACCUGAGCUAACAUCUGUUGCCAAUCUUUUUCUUUUUUUCCUUCUUCUUCUCCCCAAGCUCCACAGUACAUAGUUGUAUAUUGUAGUUGCGGGUCCUUCUAGCUGUGGCCUGUGGGAUGCCACCUCAGCAUGGCUUGAUGAGCAGUGCCAUGUCUGUGCCCAGGAUCCAAACCAGUGAAACCCCGGGCCGCCGAAGCAGAGCGUGCCAACUUAACCUCUUGGCCACGCAGCCGGCCACUAAACUCACAAAUUUUAAAAAGGGAAAAGUAGCUGAGUUUUGAGUUUUCUCUAAAUCAGUAUUUCUUUAGAUAUAUUCCAUGGAAAUCUAAUUAUACAGGCUAUUUAGAGGUGGUAUGUUUUAAAAGGGUUCCAUUAUCAAAUAAGUUUGAGAAAAACUUGGUGAGAUUAAGUUAAAACAGGCUUCUUUUGGGCAUGACAUCUCUAAGCCUUUGCUCAUAAAUGAGUGCUGUGAAUCUCCAAGAAACAGUAUGUUAUGCAGUGUUUUUAAAGCCUAUUUGAACGAAGGACCGAUGUUUCUCCGUGAGCAUGCCCUGGAAUCACGGUUGGGAAAAACCUGAAAAUUACGAGCUUACCUGAUGGCCGACAUCUGCGUGCUGUUCCCAGCUACUGGAAGAUUCCACCCCUCAAAUGUGUCAAAGUCCUCCUCUCCAAACCUCCCUCACGGAUUGUAAGCUGUAUUAGGCAAGGGACUGGACAUCCACAUUUAAAUUGGUUUAAUAUCUCUGAUCACUGCCUGAGAGCAACUUGAGAAGCUGGAACUUUCUCCUUUAUCUUGUGCUGCCCACAGUGCCCAGCACUGACUUAUAAACAUGCUGUUCAGUAAGUGCUGGGGGAGAGGGAGGAAGGAAUGAAGAGAUGAGGAAAAGGAACUGGAGAGAAAGGCAGAAGAAAGAAGGGGCCAGAUGAGCAAAAAGAAGGAUGACGAGAAGAAGGAAAGAAGGAAGAAGAGGACAGAAACUGGUUACUCUCUCAAAUAAGAAUCAGAAAUUUAUAUUCUGUAAAGUUUGCUCACAUCUACUGUUUGUGUUUUGUUUUGUUUCGCUUUGUUUACUUAGCAUCAGUUCUUUGGUUCACCUGUACUAAGACCAAGAAAGCUUUGUGUAGUUGAGAGUAGAGUUAUUGGUGAGGGCACCAGCAGCUACACCAGCUCCAGAGAGAUUGGGGCUGGAGCUGUGAGAUAGGGGAGCCGGACAGCCAUCCCAUUAAACGUAUCCCUGCACCUAAUCCCUUCCUGUAAUUCACACUGGACAAUCUCUUUACAGCCUGCUAACACCUGGGGCACAACCAAAUCUUCUCCAUUUCUCUCUGUAAUCCCUCCAAAGGUAUUUUCUGAGUUUUAGUCUUUUGUGCUUUAUCCACUGGUUUCUGAGAUCCUGAAUACCUUCCUUUCAACUGCAUUUCAUAGAUAGCUGAAAAGCCUUUUGCUGCCAUACUCCCUACUUUGUACACAUCCUUAAGUCUUUUGUCCUGGCUUCCUUACCUGUCCCAUAAAAUUUAAAUUGAGUCGAUUAGUUUCGAUCAUAGGGCCAAAGAGGCUAAGGUCAAAGAUUAAAUACCAAAAAAAGCUUAUAAAUCUCUGGGCUUAAAAACAUUAGAGCAUAAAAAGAACCUUAACAAUGACUUAGCACCACCCUCUUAUUUUACAGAUGAGAUCAUUAAGGUCCGGAAAGAUCAAGUCUGCUCAGAAACAAACAACUAUACAUGGCCACAGAAUGACCUUUAGUCUUAGGCAAUCAUCUUGAAAAUUCUUGUUUUUCAUUUCCAGAAGUCAGGCAAGAAUGCAGAUUACAUCACGUAAUCACCACCCUCCUGCAGGACUCCAGGAAACCUCAAGCCCGUUUAGGUUCUCUUCCUCUAAUUACCAGUACCUUUCUCACUGAAGUAUUUGUCCUAAUCCUUAACCCUGACUUGCAUUUCUUUAUUUUGUCAACUGAGGAAGAGAAACGCCAUAUAAAGGUCUCAGAUAGCAGGUGGAGGGUAGCGGUGGAGAUGC